CGCCUUGCCAGCCCGCUCAGAAACUCAAAGGAAUUGACGGGGGCCCGCACAAGCGGAGGAACAUGUGGUUUAAUUCGAUGAUACGCGAGGAACCUUACCUGGGCUCAAAUGUAUGUUGACGUAUUCUGAAAGGGAUACUUCUUCGGACAAUAUACAAGGUGCUGCAUGGCUGUCGUCAGCUCGUGUCGUGAGAUGUUGGGUUAAGUCCCGUAACGAGCGCAACCCUUGUCCUUAGUUACCAGCACGUUAUGGUGGGCACUCUAAGGAGACUGCCGGUGACAAACCGGAGGAAGGUGGGGAUGACGUCAAGUCCUCAUGGCCUUUAUGACCAGGGCUACACACGUACUACAAUGGCCGAUACAAAGGGCAGCGACACUGCGAGGUGAAGCCAAUCCCGUAAAAUCGGUCUCAGUCCGGAUUGGAGUCUGCAACUCGACUCCAUGAAGUUGGAAUCGCUAGUAAUCGCGCAUCAGCCAUGGCGCGGUGAAUACGUUCCCGGGCCUU
rnacentral:rRNA from 1 species